rnacentral:rRNA from 1 species
UACAGAGGUGGCAAGCGUUGUUCGGAAUUACUGGGCGUAAAGGGCGCGUAGGCGGUCUUGUAAGUCUCGUGUGAAAUCCCUCGGCUUAACUGAGGAACUGCACGGGAUACUGCAUGACUUGAGGUCGGGAGAGGGAAGCGGAAUUCCGGGUGUAGCGGUGAAAUGCGUAGAUAUCCGGAGGAACACCGGUGGCGAAGGCGGCUUCCUGGACCGACUCUGACGCUGAGGCGCGAAAGCGUGGGGAGCGAACAGG